rnacentral:rRNA from 1 species
UACGUAGGGUGCAAGCGUUAAUCGGAAUUACUGGGCGUAAAGCGUGCGCAGGCGGUUUUGUAAGUCUGUCGUGAAAUCCCCCGGGCUCAACCUGGGAAUUGCGUUGGAGACUGCAAGGCUAGAAUCUGGCAGAGGGGGGUAGAAUUCCACGUGUAGCAGUGAAAUGCGUAGAGAUGUGGAGGAACACCGAUGGCGAAGGCAGCCCCCUGGGUCAAGAUUGACGCUCAUGCACGAAAGGCGUGGGGAGCAAACAGG